AUUUACGGUCAUAUCACGUUGAAAACGUCGGUUCUCGUCCGAUUGCCGAAGUAAGCAACAUCGAGCCUAAUUAGUACUUAGAUGGGUGACCGCUUGGGAAACCUAGGUGCUGUAAACG
rnacentral:rRNA from 1 species